UGAUUCACAUUUUUCCAUUUC
rnacentral:piRNA from 1 species